GACGAACGCUGGCGGCGUGCUUAACACAUGCAAGUCGAACGGAAAGGCCCUGCUUUUGUGGGGUGCUCGAGUGGCGAACGGGUGAGUAACACGUGAGUAACCUGCCCUUGACUUUGGGAUAACUUCAGGAAACUGGGGCUAACACCGGAUAGGAGCUCCUGCUGCAUGGUGGGGGUUGGAAGUUUCGGCGGUUGGGGAUGGACUCGCGGCUUAUCAGCUUGUUGGUGGGGUAGUGGCUUACCAAGGCUUUGACGGGUAGCCGGCCUGAGAGGGUGACCGGCCACAUUGGGACUGAGAUACGGCCCAGACUCCUACGGGAGGCAGCAGUGGGGAAUAUUGCACAAUGGGCGGAAGCCUGAUGCAGCAACGCCGCGUGCGGGAUGACGGCCUUCGGGUUGUAAACCGCUUUCGCCUGUGACGAAGCGUGAGUGACGGUAAUGGGUAAAGAAGCACCGGCUAACUACGUG
rnacentral:rRNA from 1 species